rnacentral:lncRNA from 1 species
AUGGCUACCCUUAGACCCCUCGUGAAGCCCAAGAUCAUCUAAGAUGGACCAAGAAGUUUAUCCUUCACCAGUCAGACUGACAUAUCAAAAUUAGAUGUACGCAUAUAGCAGCAACCCAGAGGCAUUGACAACAGGGUGGGGAGAAAAAUCAAAGGCGAGACCUUGAUCCCCAACAUUGGUUGUGGGAGCAAAAAGAAGCAAAACACAUGCUCCCCAGUGGCUUCCAAAAAUUCCUGUUCCACGAUGUCAAAGAGCUGGAAGUGCUGCUGAUGUGCAACAAAUCUUACUGUGCUGAGAUUGCUCAACAUGCUUCUCCAAGAACGGUUAAAGCCACUGUGGAGAGAGUAACCCGACAGCCCAGCAGAGUCACUAGUCCCAAUGCCAGGCUGCACAGCAAGAAAAAUUAA